rnacentral:rRNA from 1 species
UACGUAGGCAGCGAGCGUUGUUCGGAGUUACUGGGCGUAAAGCGUGCGUAGGCGGUGUCUUAAGUUUGUUGUGAAAUCUCCCGGCUUAACCGGGAGGGUGCGGCGAAUACUGAGAUGCUGGAGUGCCGGAGAGGUAAGCGGAAUUCCUGGUGUAGCGGUGAAAUGCGCAGAUAUCGGGAGGAACACCAAUGGCGAAGGCAGCUCGCUGGGACGUGACUGACGCUGAGACGCGAAAGCGUGGGGAGCAAACAGG